rnacentral:rRNA from 1 species
AUUCCAGCUCCAGUAGCGUAUACUAAUGUUGCUGCAGUUAAAAAGCUCGUAGUUGGAUUUCUGAUUGAUAUUUUUGGUCCGGUACCUUCGGGUACAUGAGUAUCAUUUUAUGUCUGUCAUCCUAUCAGGGUUUCUUGGUUUCGGCCUAGGAGUUCUGGUUCAUUUACUUUGAAAAAAUUAGAGUGUUUAAAGCAAGCUUGCGCGAUGAAUACAUUAGCAUGGAAUAAUAAUAUAGGACUACGGGUUCUAUUUUGUUGGUUUCUAGACCUGAAGUGAUGAUUGAUAGGGAUAGUUGGGGGUGCUAGUAUUGGGAGGCCAGAGGUGAAAUUCUUUGAUUCUCUCAAGACUAACUUAUGCGAAAGCAUUCACCAAGGAUGUCUUCAUUG